rnacentral:rRNA from 1 species
GAUGAACGCUAGCGGCAGGCUUAACACAUGCAAGUCGAGGGGCAGCGGGGUGUAGCAAUACAUCGCCGGCGACCGGCGCACGGGUGCGUAACACGUAUGGAAUCUGCCCUUUACUGGGGGAUAGCCCGGAGAAAUCCGGAUUAAUACCCCAUAACAAGCGAGGUGGCAUCAUCUUGCUUUGAAAGCUCCGGCGGUAAAGGAUGACCAUGCGCCCGAUUAGCUAGUUGGUGAGGUAAUGGCUCACCAAGGCUACGAUCGGUAGGGGGCCUGAGAGGGUUAUCCCCCACACUGGUACUGAGACACGGACCAGACUCCUACGGGAGGCAGCAGUGGGGAAUAUUGCGCAAUGGGCGAAAGCCUGACGCAGCCACGCCGCGUGAGCGAUGAAGGCC